UUCCUUAAGAAAUAAUUCCCCUCACUAUACCCGAGGUUAUGGAAUCUUCUUCCAAGGAUAAAAUAUCCUUAAAUCCGACUAUAGCGGUACCUCAAAUAGUCGGAUUCUUCGAACACACUCACGGUUAGAAUGAUCAGACUUAGAGUAUUUUUUUAAGACAAGAAGAAGAAGUUUUGUAAUCUGAAAAUUUCUGUAUUUUCUACCUCUAACCUGUGGAUGAAAACCAGGUUAUUUAUAGCCACAAGAUGCCUUUUUAGAAAGGAGGCAAUGGUUCACUCCAAAAGUUGCACCUUUGCUGUAAAUUCAUGUCUGUUCAUUAAAGAUUGCAUCCUUUCCUGAACAGUCAUAUCUUUUCAUGAAUCAGUGUGUCUUUUGCUGAAUGGUUGCAUCUGUUUAUUCAACCAGUGCAUCAGUUCAGUUAAGUAACAGAAAAUAGUGCACCAGUUCUAAAGCAAUGCAACAUUUCCGAAGCAGUGCAACUGUUCUGCGUCACUGUUCACGUAAAACAGUAGCAUCGCGUCACUGUUACUGCAUGUAAAUGGAGGAUUAAAACUCAGAAAUAUUUCCUGCGUUUUUCAUCAUCGAUCGAUCAUUUGCCAAAUCCAAAUCCAAAUCCAAAUCCGAAGUCGAGCGAGCAACGACGACAACGGCGCGAGGCAUCUCUAUUUCCUUGCCUCACUUACCAUGUGGAGUAAAUAUUUCACAAUAUAAACCAAUGUGGGAGAAAGAGUAAGCUUUCCAAAUUAGUCGACACUUUUCAAUUUGGUGUCUCCUUUUCCUCCACCAUUUCUUCUCCAUUUCUCAUUCACACUUCUAUAAACCCAACAGAUUCCACUUCUCGAUAGCUCUUCAAAAUUGUUGCAAUUCUCUCUUGAAAAUUUCCUUGCUAUUGCAUGUUAUCUUCAAAUUGAUCAGUAACUGUUCUAGAAUUUUGUGUUUUUUAAGUCGGUUCAUUUUUGCUUCUUUUUUGCUCCAGUUAGUAACUGUUAGGAAAACUGAAUGUAUAUCUAUGUUUGUACUUAAGUUGUUAAUACCAUUUUGCGUGCCAAUUAUGAUUAGUCCUUUUUCUGUUUUGCUUUUCAUAAUUUGUUUUCUUAAUUUGUAUAUAUCUGUAUCCAGAAUCUCUGAGACGAAGCUGCUGAUUUGGGUUUCUUUUCGAUUUCAAUAAUUUUCCAAGCGUUGGAAGUUUCUGGUGAAGUUUAAUUAAUUGAUUUACCAAAAUGGGAGUAUUCAAUUUCACUCUGAUUCCUAUUCUAGAUGACGACCGGCAUCCUCCUUCAGCUAUUCAAAAACUUGAUCCCAGAAAGAUAGGUAUAAGGUCUGCAUACACCCGCCCGCCUCAGACCCAAUUUGUGGGAGUAUACUUGAUUUGAGAAUGAGAUUGUUGUUGCUGUUGGAAAAUGAGAACCUGCUUAAGUGAUGUCUGAAUAUGGCUUUAAACAAGCAGGAUGGUAAUCUCAAUAGCAAGUCUGGGCAUAUAGCUUUGAGCAAUGAUCCGUGCUCACAAAGAGUAGAGGGAGUCUUUGUCGUUAGUGAUUCUGUUGAUUGGAGCAGGGACAUCCAGCUUUUCAAUUCAUGGUUGAAAAUGUUGUUUCGUACAUGCGGUAGAAUAUGGUUAGGACUAUUGCGAUGGAUGGUACUGAAGGAUUAGUUCAUGGUCAACGUGUGCUUAAUACUGGGCCUCCUAUUACUGUUCCUGUCGGUAGAUCCCUGCAUACUUGGCCGUAUUACGAAUGUCAUUGGAGAGACAAUUGAUGAGAGAGGCCCAAUUACAACCGAUCACUUUUUGCCAAUCCAUUAUGAAGCUCCUGCCUUUGUAGAGCAAGCCAGUGAACAACAAAUUCUUGUAACUGGUAUUAAGGUUAGGUUGUUGAUCUUCUUGGUCCAUACCAAAGAGGAGGAAAAAUUGGGCUGUGUGGUGGUGCUGGUGUCGGUAAAACUCUGCUUAUUAUGGAACUGAUUAACAAUGUCGCAAAAGCACAUGGUUGGGUUGCUUGACUCUACAGGUCCUAAUGCAGACAAAGCUAAGGAACAAUUCAAAAUUUUGAAAUAUGUGAUAGGGGCGUUCAUGCUCCGACGAACUAAAUCUCAGCUUAUCGAGUCGGGGAUUCUGGUGUUGCCACCUCUUACUGAGAUUACUGUAUUGUACUCUUUAUCAUCGCUCCUAACAUGAAUCGACCCCAAAAGAGCAGUUGGAGAUUGUUAUUUCGGCACAAUGGAUUCCAACAGGCUUUUUUACUGAAACAGCGUUGGCUGGAGCUGCUCUCAUUUUAUUCCAACUCAUGAUUGUUAGUAAUGUAUGUCUUAUUAUAUCACUUAUAUCAUAUAUCAAUUGUUCUUUGGUUUAUGGUCAAGAAUAGAUAGACGUUCCUUAUCUGUAUUGAGCAAAAAUAUGACAUCCUUGUGAGACCAAUAGAAUGAGUUAUGUUGGAAGUGGACGAACUUGUCAGGUUUAAUGAAAAUACUUACUCUAUAACUUUACGUAAGUAAAAAAUUACCAUGUAACUGUUGGUUAUUUCAAAUCAUUGGUCAUACGUCGAUUUUAAAGAAGAGAAGAAGAGAU